rnacentral:rRNA from 1 species
GNUGCACUAAUNCAUAGUCAGAGACCNCAACGGNAAGUUUUAAGNCAAUUAAACUUUANUGGCGAACGGGUGAGCUAACGCGUAAGUCAAUCUGUCCCCUAAGACGAGGAUAACAGUUGGAAACUACUGCUCAAGACUGGAUAGGAGACAAGAGGCCUCUUUUUGUUUUUAAAGACCUAUCAAUAAGAUUGCUUAGGGAGGAGCUUGCGUCACAUUACUUAUUGGUGGGGUAAAUGCCUACCAAGACUAUGAUGUGUAUCCGGGCUGAGAGGUUGAACGGCUACAUUGGGACUGAGACACGGCCCAAACUCCUACGGCCAGGCACCACUUUGGGAAUUUUCUGCAAUGGACGAAACUAUGACCGACAACUCCGAUGUAACUAUGAAUUAUUUUCUGUACGUAA